AUUGAACGCUGGCGGCAGGCCUAACACAUGCAAGUCGAGCGGUAGAGAGGUGCUUGCAUCUCUUGAGAGCGGCGGACGGGUGAGUAAUGCCUAGGAAUCUGCCUGGUAGUGGGGGACAACGUUUCGAAAGGAACGCUAAUACCGCAUACGUCCUACGGGAGAAAGCAGGGGACCUUCGGGCCUUGCGCUAUCAGAUGAGCCUAGGUCGGAUUAGCUAGUUGGUGAGGUAAUGGCUCACCAAGGCGACGAUCCGUAACUGGUCUGAGAGGAUGAUCAGUCACACUGGAACUGAGACACGGUCCAGACUCCUACGGAGGCAGCAGUGGGGAAUAUUGGACAAUGGGCGAAAGACCUGAUCCAGCCAUGCCGCGUGUGUGAAGAAGGUCUUCGGAUUGUAAAGCACUUUAAGUUGGGUAGGAAGGGUUGUAGAUUAAUACUCUGCAUUUGACGUUACCGACGAGAUAAGCACCGGCUAA
rnacentral:rRNA from 1 species